AACGAACGCUGGCGGCGUGGAUAAGACAUGCAAGUCGAGCGCUGAUUACAGGGUAGCAAUAUUCUGUAGUUGGAGCGGCGCAAGGGUGCGUAACACGUGGGUAAUCUGCCAUGAAGUUUGGAAUAACUCGCUGAAAGGCGAGCUAAUGCCGGAUGUGAAAGCUGGGAGGCAUCUCUUGGUUUUCAAAGCUGGGGACCGUAAGGCCUGGCGCUUCAUGAUGAGCCCGCGGCCUAUCAGCUAGUUGGUAAGGUAACGGCUUACCAAGGCUAAGACGGGUAGCUGGUCUGAGAGGACGACCAGCCACACUGGAACUGAGACACGGUCCAGACACCUACGGGUGGCAGCAGUCGAGAAUUUUUCACAAUGGGCGCAAGCCUGAUGGAGCGACGCCGCUGGGGGAUGAAUGGCUUCGGCCCGUAAACCCCCUGUCAUUUGCGAUCAACCGUUGUUGUUUAAGAGAUGACAACCUGAUAGUAGCGAAAGAGGAAGGGACGG
rnacentral:rRNA from 1 species